GCUUUGCCUAGCUGCAGCAAGUUUAGCGCUUAGAUACCUUUCCCCUACCCACCGCACCCACCCAUGUUUAUUCUAGAAGAUUUUAUCUGGUAGUAUGUCAUUUUAUUUUAUAUAAUUUUUAAUCUCACUAAAAAUAGGAUGUAUAGACCACUAUACAUUAUAUUUUGUUUCCACUGACUUGUCAGUGUGACUGGUGCCGGAGGUAUGCCUUGGCAGAAUAGCCAGAAUUGUCAUGGCUAUCUCCUUUUG